rnacentral:lncRNA from 1 species
UCACCUUUUUUUGUCUGAUCGUUUUGCUCUAACAUUGAAUCCAUUAGUCACCUUAUAUUUCUCCAUCACUGAAACAAGUGUAUUUUUAUCCUUGUACCUCUAUUUCACCUUUACAUCAAUACUCUUGCUAUCACAUAUCAAGUUAUCUUCAACCUCCGGGACAUACAAAGCAUACUCAUUUUGUGUCUCAGCAACAGUUAAAGACAAAGCAUCAGAUUCAACACCUUCCAGACAAAUCACAGCUCCGAUUUUCCUAUCGAACAAUAUGUCUUCUUGACAUUUUUCAGUUGUUGAAAUACAUAACGGAUACAUCAUGAACGCGUGUGAAGUUUUUUUCAACUCCACAUACAAUCAUACGUUAUUAUCAUUAUGGAUAUGAAAUGGUGAAUCAUUCCCGUCAACAACAAAACAUACAUCAAUAUUUUUUUGAGUUUCGUCAAUGUUUAGUUCAUCAACAAUCGACGAAAUCAACUUCAAAUAAUUUAUUGAUUCAGCAACAACAAGCCCUUCGCUUUUUAUAAUCCACAUAUUCUGUUUGGGAUCUCCAUUUACCCGAGUACCUUAAAAGAAUAGCAAUAUUCAUCUUCAAUAAUUCGGAAUAAUAUGCUCUCUUCAGUAAAGAACAAAAAAACAGAGAUGAAAUUAGAUUUUGAUUUAUGGUUUUGCUUCAGAUUUGCGUUUUUGUGUAUUUUUAUUUUUUAAAAUUUGAAAUUCCGUUGAUUAAACAUGAUUUUAGGGAUGCAGCCAUCCACGUAUUAAAUUAGUUGCACCAUUUACGUCAUUUAAUGCUGAAUAUCCGUUACUCCCUGUUUUUCAGGAACCUAACAGAUUUCAAUAUACAUUACUUCUUACGUAUAUGUCCUUUAAGGAAUGUAUAUUAAAAGGGAUAGAGACUAAACUAAUUCAAAAAAG